GUGAGGAAUAUUGGUCAAUGGGCGAGAGCCUGAACCAGCCAAGUCGCGUGAAGGAAGAAGGAUCUAUGGUUCGUAAACUUCUUUUGCAGGGGAAUAAAGUGCGGGACGUGUCCUGUUUUGUAUGUACCCUGAGAAUAAGGAUCGGCUAACUCCGUGCCAGCAGCCGCGGUAAUACGGAGGAUCCGAGCGUUAUCCGGAUUGAUUGGGUUUAAAGGGUGCGGAGGUGGUUUGAUAAGUCAGCGGUGAAAGUUUGCAGCUUAACUGUAAAAAUGCCGUUGAAACUGUCGGACUUGAGUGUAAAUGAGGUAGGCGGAAUGCGUGGUGUAGCGGUGAAAUGCAUAGAUAUCACGCAGAACUCCGAUUGCGAAGGCAGCUUACUAAGCUACAACUGACACUGAAGCACGAAAGCGUGGGGAUCAAACAGGAUUAGAUACCCGGGUAGUCC
rnacentral:rRNA from 1 species